rnacentral:tRNA from 1 species
GCCUGUGGCUCAGUGGUAGAGCACUUACCUAGCAUGUGUGAGGCACUGGGUUCGAUUCUCAGUGCUGCA